CAGUCGCCACGGUAACACGAAGGGGGCUAGCGUUGCUCGGAAUUACUGGGCGUAAAGGGCGCGUAGGCGGCCAUUCAAGUUAGAUGUGAAAGCCCUGGGCUCAACCUAGGAGUUGCAUUUGAUACUGUUUGGCUUGAGUUCGGGAGAGGUGAGUGGAAUUCCCAGUGUAGAGGUGAAAUUCGUAGAUAUUCGGAAGAACACCAGUGGCGAAGGCGGCUCACUGGCUCAUUCUAGACGCUGAGGUGCGAAAGCGUGGGGAGCAAACAGGAUUAGAUACCCCGGUAGUCCCUGUCUCUUAUAC
rnacentral:rRNA from 1 species